GCCAGCAUGGCUCAGUGGUUGAGCGUCCACUGGGCCUAUGAACUGGAAGGUCAGGGUUCAAUUCCCUGUCAGGGCA
rnacentral:tRNA from 1 species